AGCUACUUCCCCCUGAAGAGAUGGAAACAUUAUGGGCUGCAGGAAAUGAAGCAAAACAACACCUGUGAUUUCUUCUUGUCUUCAGAAAACCCAUUAAAGUCUGGGAAGGUAACAGUCCACUUUGAAAGGUCCAUACCUUUAACAGGAGCCAGAGAAGGCCGCAGGUUGUCGAGAUGGUGGAAGAAAAUCUUGUCUGCGGUGGAGUUAAUGGAGGCAGCCAUGCCGGGGAUCUCGCCGUUCGACUUGCUUCGCACACGCUUAGGGGGAUGAGGCUUCUUAAACAGCUGCACCUGUUUGGGGAUCUGGCCGAAGUUGUUGAUAAAGCCGAUGGUGGCCGUCUCUUUCAGAGGGUCGUUGAUGUUGUAGAUGUCCACUUGACCCUCAUAGAAGAGAUGGUGGAACACAUUUACAGCCUCCACUGCUGGAGGGCCCUGCUGCUUGUAGCCGAAUAUGAGGUCAAUCCAUUCAUGUAGCAGGCGGAGCAGGGUGGUGUUGUCCGUCUUCUGCUCCUCGUCUACAGCUCCACACUCCAGCAGCUCCUGCAGCUGCUCUGGGCCGUCCUCGUCUCCGCCAUCCGCUGUGGAGCGGGAACGCUUCAGAGGAGCUUUCACAAGACCUACACACACACACACACACACACACAAAUAGGCCAUCCACUAUAAAAACCAUCCACCCUCGACACACUUAAAGGUCAUAGGCAAUGGUCGGAGGUGAAACGUAGAAUAUCAACUUUAUUGUCUAGAAGAACGACCCAGAAAGCGAGUUCAAUCUUCCUAGUGUCUAAUUUGCACCCUAAAAUUGAAUAAAACGGUUAAAAUAUA